AAUAAAAAUAUCUUUGGUUGGGGCAACCACGAAGAAAAAAAAACCUUCGUCAAAAAAAGAAAUUAACAAAUUUAAAAAUUAUCUAAAAAAAGAUCCAGAAAAUCUGAUCAAAGAAAAAAGUUACCGCAGGGAUAACAGCGUUAUUCUCUUUAAGAGCCCGUAUUGACAAGAGAGUUUGCGACCUCGAUGUUGGAUCGGGGCACCCAAGAGGUGUAGCAGCCUCUAAAGGUAGGUCUGUUCGACCUUUAAAGCCCUACGUGAUCUGAGUUCAGACCGACGUAAGUCAGGUCAGUUUCUAUCUA
rnacentral:rRNA from 1 species